CACGUGGGUAACCUGCCCAAGAGACUGGGAUAACACCUGGAAACAGAUGCUAAUACCGGAUAACAACACUAGACGCAUGUCUAGAGUUUAAAAGAUGGUUCUGCUAUCACUCUUGGAUGGACCUGCGGUGCAUUAGCUAGUUGGUAAGGUAACGGCUUACCAAGGCAAUGAUGCAUAGCCGAGUUGAGAGACUGAUCGGCCACAUUGGGACUGAGACACGGCCCAAACUCCUACGGGAGGCAGCAGUU
rnacentral:rRNA from 1 species